CAAAUCAUAGUUUAAUUAAAACAUUAAAUUGCAAAUUUAUAUAAAUCUACUAAGAUUGAUUUGU
rnacentral:tRNA from 1 species